rnacentral:rRNA from 1 species
GAUGAACGCUGGCGGCGUGCCUAAUACAUGCAAGUCGAGCGAACAGACGAGGAGCUUGCUCCUCUGAUGUUAGCGGCGGACGGGUGAGUAACACGUGGAUAACCUACCUAUAAGACUGGGAUAACUUCGGGAAACCGGAGCUAAUACCGGAUAACAUGUUGAACCGCAUGGUUCAACAGUGAAAGACGUUCUUGCUGUCACUUAUAGAUGGAUCCGCGCCGCAUUAGCUAGUUGGUAAGGUAACGGCUUACCAAGGCAACGAUGCGUAGCCGACCUGAGAGGGUGAUCGGCCACACUGGAACUGAGACACGGUCCAGACUCCUACGGGAGGCAGCAGUAGGGAAUCUUCCGCAAUGGGCGAAAGCCUGACGGAGCAACGCCGCGUGAGUGAAGAAGGUCUUCGGAUCGUAAAACUCUGUUAUUAGGGAAGAACAAAUGUGUAAGUAACUAUGCACGUCUUGACGGUACCUAAUCAGAAAGCCACGGCUAACUACGUG